rnacentral:rRNA from 1 species
UAUACAUAUCAAUAAGCGGAGGAAAAGAAACCAACAGGGAUUCCCCUAGUAACGGCGAGUGAAGCGGGAACAGCUCAAAUUUGAAAUCUGGCCCUUGGGUCCGAGUUGUAAUUUGCAGAGGAUGCUUUUGGUGCGGUGCCUUCCGAGUUCCCUGGAACGGGACGCCUUAGAGGGUGAGAGCCCCGUACGGUUGGACACCAAGCCUAUGUAAAGCUCCUUCGACGAGUCGAGUAGUUUGGGAAUGCUGCUCAAAAUGGGAGGUAUAUUUCUUCUAAAGCUAAAUAUUGGCCAGAGACCGAUAGCGCACAAGUAGAGUGAUCGAAAGAUGAAAAGCACUUUGAAAAGAGGGUUAAAUAGCACGUGAAAUUGUUGAAAGGGAAGGAUUUAUGACCAGACUUUUUCUAGGGGGAUCAUCCGGUGUUCUCACCGGUGCACUUCCCCUAGUUGAGGCCAGCAUCGGUUUCUGUCGGGGGAUAAAAGCUUCAGGAAUGUGGCUCCCUCCGGGGAGUGUUAUAGCCUGUUGCAUAAUACCCUGACGGGGACCGAGGUUCGCGCAUUGCAAGGAUGCUGGCGUAAUGGUUAUUAAUCACCCGUCUUGAAACACGGACCAAGGAGUCGAACAUUUGUGCGAGUGUUUGGGUGUUAAACCCUCACGCGUAAUGAAAGUGAACGGAGGUGAGAGCCUUUCGGGGUGCAUCAUCGACCGAUCCUGAUGUCUUCGGAUGGAUUUGAGUAAGAGCAUUAAUGUUCGGACCCGAAAGAUGGUGAACUAUGCGUGGAUAGGGUGAAGCCAGAGGAAACUCUGGUGGAGGCUCGCAGCGGUUCUGACGUGCAAAUCGAUCGUCAAAUCUGCGCAUGGGGGCGAAAGACUAAUCGAACCAUCUAGUAGCUGGUUACCGCGA